rfam:Baudoinia panamericana TAMH 10762 unplaced genomic scaffold BATCOscaffold_4, whole genome shotgun sequence.
GGCACUUUGGCGGAGUGGUUAACGCGCUGCCCUGCUACUACGGAAGCAGUCAUAUCGUCAGGCAGUUCCUUCGGGAGCGUGUGUUCGAAUCACACAGGUGUCG